rnacentral:misc_RNA from 1 species
UCCUCCUGCCAUUUCUUAGAAAACUCAGCCCCCAAUCUCACACCAAUUUUCAGUACUUGAACAAUGAACCUUUCAUUAUAAAACUGCUCAGCGAAUAAUGGCCAUGUUAUCAUUGAGAUGCCUGCACACAAACCUUCCAACGUCGAAUUCCAACCACAAUGUGUCAAGAAUCCUCCAAUGGCACGAUGUGAUAAGAUUAGCACUUGUGGCGCCCAGCCAUGGAUCAGAAGGCCUCUUCCUUUUAUUCUGGUCUCAAAUUGUUCUUCAGAUAUCCACUUCUCAAUCUCUUUUGCGCUAUUACCUCUUCUUAUAACCCAAAUGAAAGGUCGGUUAGCUGCUUCCAAGCCUAAUCCAAGCUC